AUAAUGCUGAAAAAGUGAAGACUCCAGAGGCCACAAUAGUAGCAAGAUAUCAAGGAGAAGUGUAAACAUCAUUCAAGGACUUAAAGUAGAGUUUUCAAAAUGGAUGAAAGACCUAAAUUUGAGAUAAGAAUCCAUCAAAAUCCUAGAAGAGAACAUACGCAGCAACCUCUUUGGCUUUGGCCACAGCAAAUUCCUGCUAGACACAUCAUAAAAGGCAAGGGAAAUAAAAGGAAAAGUUAACUAUUGGGACUUCAUCAAGAUAAAAACCUUUUGCACAACAAAGGAAACAGUCAACAAAACUAACAGACAAUCUACAGAAUGGGAGAAUAUAUUUGCAAUGUCUUGUCAGACAAAGGGCUAAUACCCAAAGUCUAUAAAGAAGUUAUCAAAAU